GGGUGGAAUUAAGUAUGGUUACUCAAAAUAUAUGAACUAUUUUCAACUCCAUUUAUAAAAGACAUUACUUCUACAGAUGUAAGAAUUUUUGUACCUGCAGUUUCCAAAGGGGGCGUUGGAGGUGGGUUCUCCAUUUUUUCUGUAUUUCAAUCCUGGAACAAAACGAUUGUCAAUUUAAUAGCUGGAUUAAGAUUUGUAUUUUGUUGGAUU
rnacentral:lncRNA from 1 species